AGUGCGAGGAGCAGGAGGCAGCCGCAGGCCGCAGGCCUCCACGUUAAGGUGUCCUCGCCGAGAUGCAGCCCUGCACCCGCUGCCUCCCGCCCCAUGCCCCAGCACAGCCCGGUGGGACGGCGGUGGGGAGCGGCCUGACUGCCUGGCUCUGUCUGAGGGCUUGGGAGGUGCAGAGACACCGGGCAGGAGCCGUGGUGAAGGCCCAGAGAGCAGGCAGGAAACUCCGGCCAUCAGCCCUUUUCUCCUGCCCUUGGUGGGGACACAUCCUGGUGUCCCUGCAGUGCAGGUGACCAGAGCCCAUGACACAGGAAAGAUCUUGCAGAGAGCCUUUGGGAUGGCCUGGGCUCCUGCCCUCGCAGGGCCAGUCUGCCUCCAGGCACCACUGCUGCAGAGUUGCUGGGGGAAAGCUGCAGAACGCAGCCCAAGCCCUUGGCUGUCUGUGGUGGCUGUAGGCCUGGGAUACUGCCCGCACCAGUUGGGUACUGGUUCCUGCCCAGGGUUCCCACAUUUCCACCUGCUUGACCUACAUUCUGCAGUGGGGUGCAGGAUUUCUCAUUGCCUCUUAUCCAAACCAGUUGUGUAGCAUUGCUGCCUUUGUGAGGUGUCACCAUGAAGGAUUCCACACUCCUUCAGCAUCCUAAAUCCUGUGGGAUCCUCUGGUUGCAGUGUGGGCAACAUGAGUAUUAUCAAACAGCAGGUGGGUGCAGCACCCCUUGUAUGUCUGGCUCGAGUGAGAGCCACUAUUUGGCAGCUGCAGGUCUCCCAUGCUCUCUGUUUGCCGAGCUCUGGGAUGGUGCCUUGCUGGGGAGAGCUGACGGUUAGUGGAUUUUUGUUUCCACAUUAAAACCAUCUAAGUAUUCAGAACCAGCUCCAGCUACCGCUGUGGGAAGACAGCUCCAAGGUACAGAGCUCCCUGCCAAGCCUGCCUGCGGGGUACUGCCCUUCAGAGCUCUCUACAGAGCACUGGCAGCACACAGGGAGCUUGCCUUGCUCCAGCGGCACCGAGCAGCUUCUUCCAGACCUUAGUCCAUCCUUGGGAAGCAGUCAGGAACGUUCGGGUCAUGCACCUGCAUGGGGAAGAGAUGGAGGGGUUUUGGGAAGCGGGAACUGGGAGCACGCACUGCCCAGCACGUAGGACAUCAUUGGGUAAUGAAGGUGAACGGUUGACAGGGCUGAUGCAACGAGCUAAUUAGGAAUUUGCUGUCACCGCAGCUGGACUCACCUGCCUUGUGUGCUGUCGCUGGGUGAUUCUCGUUCUGUGUGACAGUCCCUUGGACCAGGAAUAGCAGCCAGGGUGUCACAUGCCUGCCCUGGCUGUUCCCCGCUGUUCUGCACGAGCGUGCUGCCAGCCAUGCACACCAGCAUCAUGAGGCAGCUCCGGCAGCUGCAGAGGAAUGUGCUGCUCCUCACCGGCCCUGGGGACAAGCAAGUGACACAUCUUUUGAUGUGCCUGCAUGAGCCCAGCAGACAGACUUCUUCAGGAGUAGACAUGAUGUGCAGGAACCCCUUGGCCUGAGCCUGCCCAAGUUAAUGCACAAUGCAGAGGACUGUCAGCACUGCUCAGUGGCUUUGUUACCUGUUGAGUUGGCAGAGCUGGCUGCUAGGCCUAUGAUGCCUUGAUGCUCUUGAGUAUCCCAGCAUCACUGGGUUUUCCCUGGGGAAACCCAUGUGAAGAGCCAUUUACUAGUGUGUCCCAAGGGCUGUGAGUGGACCCUGUCCUACAGGGAAAAGACUAGUGGCUGUGACAGAGGUGGGUCUUGUGGAAAAUGCACUGGGCACCAGCAGAUUGCUGCUGGAGGAGCCUUGGAGAAAAAAGCACUGUGGUCCAUAGACAAGGAAUUAGUGUUGAUGUUUACAGAGCAUUUGUUUAGGUUAAGCAACAUGGCUCAGAGCUGCUCAGACCGGCUCCCUGCUGCACUGAGUGGCUGUGGUUCAGUGCUGCUGGUCCUGCUGGGUGGCUGAUACUUCUCCCACAGCACUGCCACCUGUGUUGGGGACAUGCCAGAGAUGUGUUGGUGGCGCUGGGGGACUGCAGCCAUCUGGGCACUGACUGUCUACCAGCUCCAAAAUGCAGAGUUCAGCCCAUGGCUGGGGAAGGUGGUGCUUGAGCUGUGUGUGCAUGGAAAAAAAAUGCAUCUAUUUCAUAGAAGCCCAUAUAAAUUGGAACCAUCUCCUGAUGAGAAGAGUUGAGUUAGGUUUCCCAAUGCAAAGCGGCAGCUACAAUAAAGAAAGAAAAAUCCCAUCCGGACCACCCACUGCCUGCAGAGCAGUCCUGGGGUGCGGGGUCCUGCAGGUGGGACGUUCUCUGCCUGCAAAUGCAGGGCUGGCUCCCCACAGCUGCCCCAAACCCGAGGGAGCCACCUUAAGAGCUCUCCCUCCAUAGGACUGAACGGGAUACGCCAGGCAUUUCAUAUACCAUAUUCUAUAGCCAAGGAAACCCUAACAAAGAGCCGUACGCUCUCACGUUUCGCUUCAGGCUUCUCCCUGCUGCAGCUGGAGCUGAGUUUUUAAAAAUCUUUGUGUCAUUAUUUCGUUCCUCUUUUGAUUCGGCCAUAGAGGGACAAGGAGAUGCCAAACGAAAAGAAUGGGCAUUUAAGCAGAACUGGAUUGAAGAGGCAGUGUGUGCGCAGAACAACAAGGCUUUUUACAUUUCAUAUGAUCUUAUACAUGGGCUCCAUUCAGUAUAUUUCCCCUCUGUUUCAUUUGAAUGUACAGAAUUAGCCAUUCACAUCCUCUGGAAUUACGUCUCCCUCACAUUUCCAUGCGGCGCUGCCUCCAUGUUCUGGGGGCUGGGAGCACUGCUAGUUCAGCUGGGAGGCGCAGGCUGAGGUCAGAGCCCGUGUGCAGGCUGGGAGCAGCUUUGUCUUUUUUUGGAAAGUGCCAGAUUUGAUGCUUGGUGACUGUGGUUGGGGAAAUAUAUGAGCAUACACAAAUGUAUGUGUGUGCCGGAGCAUGCGUGCGCCUGGUUGCAGUUGAGGGGGGUCUUUUUCAUGUUAAUCCUGCUGGAUUUAUGUCUUCAAAUAGAAAGGCGAGGCUUGGGUUUCAGACGCAGGCUGCAGUGGUUUGGGGCCACAUGCGUGGCCCUAUCAUCCUGCGUGUCUGCUUGUGGCGGCCGCCUCAUUGUCUGUUGCGGCGGGGCUAUUGAAAACAAAUAUUUAUUGUGCUAUUUACCAGAGCUCCCCGGAUGCUCCUACACAUGUAGAAGAAUUGGCCCAGGAGACUCAGAGAAACUGAGCCGGGAGUCCUAGGAAGAGAGCCAGCAGGGAGAGGCCAGGCCCUGCUGUCCCCAAGCAGGCAGUCUGGCUCUGCAUGCACAUACCUGGCACCAAGUGCUUGGCCUGCUGUGUGGGAACCCUGCUACCCAGGGAACCUGUGUCCUAUCCAUCCAUCCUGGCCAAACGGAAUGCAAUGAUGAGCUGCUGCAAAUCUACUGGAGCUGUGCUUCUUCUCAAAAUUUCAGAACACCUGUGCUCCUCUGCAGGCAGUCCUGCAGUGUGCCAGGGCUGUCCCCAUGUCCCUGCUACAAGACACCCCCCAGCAGAACAGCACACUCGGGAGCAGAAUGGACCACUGCAGCUCCAUUCUUCUGUGCUUCAUGCUGCCUCGUUCCCACAGCAGAUGAGUCAUCUGCUGGCACCCAGCUGGAAGAUGGGCAAGCCCCCCUGUGGCACUGACAAAGCCUGGAUGCUAACUCUUGGAUUUGCAUGGGUUGGGGAAGAGGAGAUGCGUUUCCCAGGGAAAAGCAGCAGGUCUCCCCUUCCACAUGUCUGGGGGCAGGGCAGGGCACUGUCUGCUCCAUGCAGGACUCACUCACCUCCUGCUAAGACAAGCCCUCUUAGUAAUAUAUCUGUGAUAUGCAGAUUUCCUCCUGUGCCUCAUAUCAGGUCUGCAAAUCUGUAUUUGCAGAUGUGAGCUCAUCCUGACGCCCCCAGGUGUAAGCCCUGAUGCUCCUGUGCACCUUUUGGCUGUCACCUCUGCCUGUGAUGUUGCCCAGGACCUCCUGGUCUUGCCCUCACUCCAUGCUGAUGAUGUUCAGCUACCAGGCUGGCACAAGGGAGCACAUGGAUGCCAGGAAAGGCUGGACUGGGGCACAGAGAUCCACAUCUCUGCCCUGGCAAUGCUGCUUAGCACCCGGGUGGGGAAAUGUCAGGGCAUUGAGCUGGGGAGUGCUCUCAGGACAGUACAUGUGAAAGGGAUUAUUUCAAAGGCUUGGCCGAUUCAGCAACAGCAAAGGGUGAGUCUGGACUCAACCAAAGGCCUUCCCUGCUCCUCCUUUUGCCAAACUUCAGGUCUGUGUGCCAGAAACAUGCCACGUUGGGAUCUCUUCAAAAGAAAGGUCAUCAGAUUUCCCUGUAACAAAAGCAAGAGAAACCAAAGUAUUUCUCUCUGACAAUGUUCUUGGAAACGGAUGAAUCACUUUGGCUGAAAUUAUAUAUUUUACAUCUAUAUUUGUGUAGAUAGUUAGCGCUAGGAAGCCAACAAACGAGACAAAGCUCUGUUAAAGAUAGUAAAGUAUGGCCAAGUGGAAAUCAGCUGAAAACCAGCACUUGGACUGUGAAGAAAAACUGAGUGGAACAUAUGGACCUUGGGAUGCAUACAUGGUCCUCAUGGCUGGGAGAGGAGGGAGGAGAGCAGGGAGCCAGGCGGCACAGAGUGAUGUACUGGGAAAUGCAGAUGUGCUGGAAGAGGAGGACUAGAUGGUGAGUGGCUUUUUUGCUGGGGUGGAGGCUAAAGCUAAAGAGGAUGGAAGGAACCUCAAGUCCCUGGUUAGAACGCUGCCCUGGUGCAGCACCGUGCAAUGAGAGAUGAGUAUGGACAUCAGCACAGAGUCCCCUGCACCUCUCUCUUCAGCAUUAUCAUGCUCUGGAUGUUAGAAGUUCAGUCAGUGGCAAGGAGAGUCAGGCAGACAGUUCAUGACCUGCUGUGGCUUUGAGGUGCUUUUGGGAGGGCAGAGGACACCCCAAGAGCAGGGGCAGACUCACAGAAAUUAACGUGGUGCCACCAAGAUGUGUCAGCCUCUGAAGAUGGGAGCCAUUGCCCAUCCUUGGCUGUGGUGGCCAGUCUGUGCUCAAUGCAGAGCCUCCUCAGUCAUCUGCUGAUGUUUCCCGGCCAUAAGCUGAGGGAGACCGGCGUGUGUGAGUCACCAGGCUCUGCUGGCUGCCAUCCACGUGCUCCAUUUGGUGCUGCUUUGUGUGUGUGAGAGCGUGCUCUCUCUCCCAGCUGUGUGUGCUUGCCUGCCAGCUCGCGGCUGAUUGCCUUUGCAGCUGUGCUGGUUUUUGCCUCUCUUCGAGCUCUGAGAGCCUUGUCCAUGGAUGAGGGGAGAAGAGGAGGAGGACAAGGAGGAGGGAGGGAAAAUGAAAAAUAAAUUAAUAAACCAGCAGAGUGAGAGAUGUCCCAUAGAAGAGGAUGUCUGCUUGCAAAGCUGUUGAUCCCCCAGGCAUGUGGUGUGCUGUUGUCCCCACCACACCUCCACUAACAGCAAGCAGAAGAUGUCACCUCCCCACACCUUCCCGAAGAUGAAUGGGGGUCCCUGCUAGAAGCCCCUCUACUUGGCACAGGACUGCUAGCUUCUCUGGGUGAUUCCCACUUCAUUUGGCCACUUCUAGGGCUGCUUCUGCUCUCUCCAUGUGGUGAGGGAGGACACCUUCCCUGCACACAGAUGAAUGGGACCAUCUUCAGUGGGCUCACACCAUGGCACCUUGCAGGGGAAGAGUGAGAUAUCCCAGAAUCAGGAGGUGUUUGGAGGUAAGUUUUGCUCCCCAUCUGCUCCCUUUGCAAAAGGUUAGGAAUGGGCUGUCAUGGUUCCUGGUUCCUGAAGUGUCCCAUAGACUACAGAGCCCCCGGAAGAGACGUAUCAGGAGCCAUUUAUGAGCUUGAAUCCCAUCGUUCUCUCCACUGCGUUUCUGGGGAUGUGGCACUGUCAGUCCACAGCUUUCCUCUCUGUAUCACAGAGAACUUUAUCAAAUGGCCUCCAUCCCAGCGCAUCCCAAAAAAUCUGCAAUGGGGUGACAUCCUCUGCAUGGGGCCUUGCAGGAAUGAGUAGAACCAGGUGUUCUGGCUUUUGGACCAGCCCAAGCAGCAUGGGAUGUACUGCACACCACCUUGCUUCUCUGCAACUUAUGGUCAAUGGUUCAAGACCCCACAGCCUUCAGAGUGUUGUCCCCCACUGAGGGCUUUCCCAAGUGGUCUCUCUUCAAGGGGCUGCUAUGAUUUCCUGCUGCCUGGCCGUACUCAUCCUGCCUUUUUCCCAGCAGCAGCAGCCCAGAGCCCCGCUUUGCUCUAUCUGGUGUGGGUGUGUGACUGCGGGCUCUGAGGGCACCCACCUGCAGGACAUCUGUUCAUAUAAGAUCAGGCAGGGCCCUGGAGACACAAUUAGGCCAGGACAGAGCAGUGAUUUCCCAGGGGGGACUGGAUGGGCUGGAGCUUCCUGAGCAGGUGGGAGCACACGGAUACGAUGGGAAAAGCACUUGGGAGGAGCCUGCGCUAGUGUUUAGCCAGCCUGGAGCAGGAUCAGGAGGACUUUAUGUUUAUAACCUUACAACCUACGAGUGCACUGCAGGCAAAGGCAUUUUUCCACCACUUCCUUAUUGCUCAGAGGUGCCCAUGCAAGAAGGACCCCUUGUCCCCAGGUGUGCUUCUUGCCACCAACUCAACCUGGUGCACAGUCCACGGACUUUCCCCGUGCUGCAGAGGCCGGGGGUGGUUCUGGCAGUGCUGCUCUAAUUGGGGACCCGCCUGGGUAAAGGAGACAACUUGGUGGCA